rnacentral:ncRNA from 2 species
ACGACAACUCCAACCGAAGGCGACAGGGUCCAGGAAGCCGGUGCGAACCCGGCACGGUCCCGCCACUGUGACCGUCCGGCACCCCCAGGGGCCGGGCGGGAGUCAGACACUGUCCUGCCGCCUCACCUCGAC